AAGGCGGUAGUUUAACGGACAAAACCUGUGCAGAAAAAAAUGUUUCAUGUUUGUGGAACACACAGCAACUUUUUAGGAGAAUAGGGAGGCACAGAAUGCAGGUUCAAGUCCUGCCCGCCUUA
rnacentral:tRNA from 1 species